GGGCGAUUAGCUCAGCUGGUUCAGAGCACCUGUCUUACAAACAGGGGGUCACUGGUUCGAAUCCAGUAUCGCCCA
rnacentral:tRNA from 1 species